UACAGAGGGAGCGAGCGUUAAUCGGAAUUACUGGGCGUAAAGCGCACGUAGGUGGCGACGUAAGUCGGGUGAGAAAGCCCCGGGCUCAACCUGGGAAUUGCAUUCGAGACUGCAUUGCUGGAGUACGGAAGAGGAGGGCGGAAUUCCCGGUGUAGCGGUGAAAUGCGUAGAUAGCGGGAGGAACAUCAGUGGCGAAGGCGGCCCUCUGGUCCAGUACUGACACUCAAGUGCGAAAGCGUGGGGAGCAAACAGG
rnacentral:rRNA from 1 species